GCAGAAAAACUUCAGAAUCUUCAGACUUGCCAUGCAAAUGACUUCUCACUGAGACACAAAUAAUUCUACUGUGCCUCUUGACAGUUUGUGAUCCAAUUUCUUCACGAUAUACCAUGGAUGUGGUGAAUGUAGCCAUCGUGUCAAAUGGUUCAAGUGUGGUGACGCCUACAGCACGGCAAGGCUGUGAUGCCUACUGCAGGGCAAUUCUGACAACAGCCUAUAGUGUGGUCUUAUUUGGAGGCACCGUUGGAACAGUUAUGAUGUCACACAUGAUAUUCAAGAGGAAUAGCCAAUCAUCGAUUGCCACAAUCAUCAUUAAUAUCAUUGUGCUACACUCCCUUCUCCUGAUUAGUCUGCCAUUCCGCCUCAGCUACUAUCUCUCAGCAGUCUGGAAGCUUGGGUCCUUUACCUGCCGAAUGGUUAGUGGCGUCAUUUAUGCUCAUAUGUACCUUACCUUUGUUUUCUAUGUGGCCAUUGUUACCCUUCGGUUGCUCAUCUAUUUUAAGAAACUCCAGAUGCAACAGCUACAAAAGUUCCAUGCUGUGGCUCUAAGCAUUAUAAUUUGGAUGGUAGGAAGCUUCAUCUUUCUACCGAUAUUUUUUUUUACAGUAUGGCACAGAUCCAAGUUACACAGAGCAACAACGGUGCUUUGAGUUUCAUAGAUCUCUCAACUGCAGGAACAUCAUCAUCAUAAACUACUCUAUAAUUGUCAUUAUGAUGACAACAGUUCUGGUCCUCUUUCUGAUACAGCUGGCUGUCAUUCUUCGUUUGAUAAAAGCCUAUUGGCCUUGUAUGUGGGCCCAUCAAGAGUACAGAGCCCAGAUCAAAAGCUUCUUCUUCCUGUUGGUCAUAGUUGUCUGCUUUAUACCCCACCAUGUGUUCAGGGUAUAUUUUAUUCAAAAUUAUCCAGAGCAAGAAAAUUCUAAGUUGAUACUAUACAAUGAAAUUUGUGUUGCUUUAACAGCCUUCUGCUGCCUGGAUAUGUUAUGUUUUGUAGGUGGUGUCAUCCAUUAGACCUUCUCAAGCUCUUUCUGUGAUUGGUAUAUAGGACACAGUGAUGAAAAUCAUUUUAGUUGAAUAGAUGGAGUGCUGUUAUCAUCUUUAAAAACUUCAAGCUCUCUGAUCCUGAAUAUCAGAUUUUUGGAUUUCUCUUAGCCACAGUUGUUUUGUUACAAAAACAUAAUUAACCUUAAUCAUCUACUUUUUCUUUGAGAAUGCUUACAAGCCCUAAAUGUAUCCCAGAAUAUAUUGGAUUUCUUAGCUGUAUAUCAACCAAACACAUCCUUUUAUCCUUUUCCUGUUUCAUUCAGUAUUCACUUCAGCCAAGCACAUGUAUUAGUUCUCCCCAACUCCUGAGGCUUUCACUCUACCACGUUUUUCUCUGAAUGUGUUUCCCCCCACUCCUGUCCAUCAAAAUUUAGACAACAUAGAGUUAUAAAUGGGGAUAUAAAAUAACCUCAAUCUAUUUAAAUUAAGAUUUCUUGCUGGUAUCAGCAUGGAGAGGAGAGUAUUACCUUGAACAGUGUGGUCAAGAAAGUUAGAAGAAACUCUUCCAAGAGACUGGACAUCAGUGAGGUUCAUCCUGAUCAAGGCACAGUAGGGAUUUGGAAGCUGGAGGCUACCUCCUGAUCUACCUUCAGUACGAAGCAGUAAAAGACAUUGAGGAAGACAACACAAACAAACAAACGAAACAAACCCCACCACCACCAACAAUAGCAACAAAAAUUGGAUCUGGGCUGAUGAUGCCAACAGACUCAUUGGCCACAAACCUUUGAAGCCAUAUAGCUCUUUUUUAUAAUUUUUCUAGACACUCAAGAACCAUCAUAUAAUUAAAAGGAGCAUCUGUGUCUGACAUACUCAAUAAAAUUAACCAAGAUAACUAACUUAGAUUCUGUUUCUAUCACAUAGAAAUUGACAUGUACUUAUUUUUUGCUUAUAAUAAUGCUUCCUUGAAGAAUGUAUUUAAUUAAUACCACACUCAAAUAGUUCUCUGGUGGCUAAUAGGUGAGCAUAGUCAAUACAAAUGAAUUUUGGAGUCAUGUGGAGAUUAGUUGUGUUUAUUAAUCAUUGAACUUUGGGUUAAAUAUUUGCAAUCCUCUCCAUGGGUCCUGUGAUAGAGUUCCAAACAUGUAGGACUGAGUGCUUUCCUAAUUUGGGGGCACCUUAUGAAGUACAAUUUUAAGACAGAGCUGUCAUAGCUUGAUAAUGAAGCAUGCCCUCACAAGGCUCAUGUAUCACAAGUUUGGUCCUCACGUUGAUGUUUUAGAAACUUUGGGAGGCAAGAACUUCCCAAGACGAAGUAGGUCAAUGGUUCUUCCUCUCUGAUUUUCUGCUUCUUGUUUCCAUAGAUGAAAAAGACCCCUCGCCACAUCUCUUCUACACUCAUAUUUUACUCAAGUGUAUAGUAUCAAGCUGUGGUUAAAAAAAAACAAAUCCUCCUUUAACUUGUUCUGUUAGUAAUUUGGUUAUAGUAUUAUAAAGUAAUUAAUAAAAAAUGACUCAUUUCUUGAAGCUUUGGGGCUGGUUUAUGAGUAGAAUUUGGAAGAAUUAUGAAAUGUAGGCUAGAGAGGUUCUAAAAUGCAGUGUUUAAUGGAUGUUCUAGUGAGAGCUCAGAAGACCAAAUAUUGAUAGAGAUAUUGAUAGAGAUUUUAUGAACAGCUUUAUGAAGUUUAGGACGAACUAGGAACUCCCUAGGAAUUGUACCUAAUGCCAUACAUGCUAGUUAUGACAAAGUCUACAUUUUGUCUAUAUCUGAAAAUUAUAUGUCAGACCAUUUAAUUAUGAUGGACAAAUAAAUUUGGUGAAUGAAAUGUCAAGACAGUAUAGCAUUCACACAAUGGCAUAUUUUUGUCCAGAUGCUUUUAUCCAGUUUAUAGUGAAUAUUUUGCAAGCCUUCUGAAAAGAAAAGCUAUGGGGCAGUGAAACUUCUACCAAGAGUCCAAAGAGGUUCUGCGAGUCCAAUCAAUUUGUAACAAUUUGUGAACUACCUACAAGAAGCAAACUUCCGAUGCUUCAAGGUUAAGACCAAGCUCCUAUGAAGACCUUGAGAUAUUGGAUAGCCCAGGAAAUUUAAAUGUGUGUCUAGAAAAACUAGACAAAGAGUAAGACAAGAGUGGUGGUAUGUGGUCAGAUGUGAUAGUACAUUCUAGAAGGAUAUGUUGAAGAGUCCAGAGGCAAGAGGAUCACAAGUGCAAGGCCAGAUUGGUCUGGCCAUAACUUUAAAAAAGCUGAAAAAGACUUGGCAUCUACAAACACACACACACACACACACACACACACACACACACACACACCGUAAAACUAGAAAAUAGCCGAGAAAAACUGUAGCAGUCUAAGUGGGUUUCUCUAAUAAGACUACAGCAGAGGACUGUUCAGACCUUUGGAGAUUAGAUUGUGCUACCAUGUGUUCUGAGUGCUUAAGGUGGAUUAUAGAAUUUCCUGGUUGUUCUGCUGGGGUUUAGUUGUACUUGGGGCCUAUCCUUGCUGUCUCCUCAUUUCUUUAUUUUGGAGUGAAUUAUUUACUCCAUGCCAAUGUACCUUAAAGCAUGUAACUUAAAAUUUGACAGAAACUUACAGCUAGAAGUUUACUUUAAGUCUCAGAAUAUAUGUUAGAUGUUUAAUUUGGCAAUUUUAAAGAUUACAUUAGUUGAUUAAUUAGUGUGUGUGUGUGUGUGUGUGUGUGUGUGUGUGUACACGUAUAGCACAUGUAGAAGUCACUGCUCUCCUUACUCUCUCUGGGUACCGGGGAUCAAACUCAGGUUGUCAAGCCUGACACCAGGUGCCUUUGCUCACCCAGCAUCUGUGUCAGCCCUUGAAGAUGAGCAGAAUAUAAUAUCCAUUGUAACAGUGCAAAAGACUUUUGAGGGGCAGGGAAAAUAUGACUUAGUAGUCCCUUCAAGAGCUUAUGUACUAAAGUCUUUUUCUCUGUUUGCUAAUUUUGGAAACUUGGGGCCGUCAGGCCAAUCUGGAGGAAAGAGGUUUCUGAAUUUGGUUUCUUAAGGAUGCAGAGCUUCUUCCUCCCCUCACCCUCCCCCCAUCUUGUUUUCUUGUUUACCAAGAAGAAAAGACAUAUCCAUCCUGUAUGCUUCUGCCCCAGGGUGUUUGUCCCAAGUGCAUUUAGCUGAGAGAGCAUGGAGAAUUAUUUAAACUUGAGAGUCAAAAUAAACCUUUCCUCCCUUAAGCUAUUUUGGUGGGUAUUGGUCACAUUGAUGUAAAAAUAAUAUUAAUACUAGAGCCAAAACUUCACAGAAUGCUAAUUCAUGUAGAAAUAUACUUUAGAGAGUUGAAAUCUUAUUGUUCAAGGUUUAUCUCAUGCUUUACUAUUAAAUCACAACAUAAAUAAAUACUUAUUUUGUCACUAAAACUUGUCAUUAUUAAUACUAUACUUACCAAUUAUACUUCAAAAUACUAUAGUCCAAGUGUUUUAUAAUUUUGUUACAAAACAAGAUUGGUUGAUAUAGUCAGUAACACAUAGACUAGUGUGUUAAUUUCAUAGGUGUUUUAAAUAUGACGGACAGCCUCUAAGAGGGCUGCUAAUGACUGCUUCCUGCACACAUUACUCAACAAGUUUUUUCCUCCUCUAUUGAAUUGUAAAUAAAGUAGACAUUAUGAAGAGAUGUCACUUCUCAUGAUAGCUCAUGAAGAGACAUCUUUCCAUCUUUCUCCUUCUCAUUUGGAAUUUUUUUUUCCUGGAAAAUCCGCGUACUGAUACGGGAAACUGGGAAAGUCCAUAUGGCAAAGAGCUAAGACUCCUUAGCAGUCCUGUAAGCCUACUUAGGAAUACUUUCCCACUAAACCAUGAAAGAACAGCCUAUUUAGCUGGCCCCUUCACUGAGGCUUCAUGAAAGAUGCCAAGAAGGAACACCUCAGUUAAGUCACUUUUAUUCUGUAUGGCAUUCUGAGUUUUAUAACCUACAUACUAGUCUCUUCUUUACCAGUUUCUGAUAAUAAGCAAACACAAGAAGUAUACCUGUUACUGCAUCAGAAAGAUGAAUUACAAAUGUGUAAACACAUGACAGUACAUGAAAACAGAUCAUGGUUUUGGAAAUACUGCAAAGGGAACAAUUGGGGAUUGGAUAAGAAUUGCUAGUCACAGCCGUCAAUUCUCAGCCCUCACCAGCCGUGUACUAGCUGUUAGGGCUGAGAGCUGGGACCUAGAGGGAAAUUCAGUCAUGUUUGUCCUGGGUUCUAUCAAGAUAGGUGUGGGGAUAGGCUUGAUUUCCAUUACAAAUGAUGUAACAUUGCAUAUGUUAGUACUCCUAACACUUCUUGGGACUGUGCCUCAGGGAUCACAAUCUGUAUAAGUUUAGAAGUUCUAAAAGCUAGUCAUGACCUUGGUGUGUAGGUUUAGAUAGUGUCCAGAUUGGAAUCCUGAUGCUAAAGACUUAGUAAGACACAAAAAAGGAGUUGAGAAUUACUUAGGGCUAAGGCUAUCUAGGUGCUGCAAGGGCAGCACAAGGACAUCUGCUGUUGCAAUGCAAGGCUUAUAGAGAAUUCAGAACUGCCAUUCAGGAGUAAUUAAAGACUCCAUGAAUAAACUUAGAGAAAGGUUAGACAAAAGGCAGACAGAGAAACGCAUCAGGGAUGGUUCGAGAGCUGGUUUAGUAGAUCUCCUUGGAUGACUACUCUGGUAUUUUCCCUUAUGGGACCCUUCUUAGUUUUGCUUCUGAUUAUAGGUCCAUGUGUGUUAGAGAAACUAGUUAAUAGGUUUGACUCCUACAAAAAGAUAGAGACGCUCAACAAGGUUGGUUUGAGUCUUGGUUCACUCAGUCUCCCUGGAUGACUACCCUACUCUCUGCUAUAUGGCUGGACCAUUACUAAUAAUUUUCUUGGUUUUAGUUUUUGGACCCUGCGUGACAAACAGGUUAAUUGCUUUUGUUAAAAAUCGAGUGAGUGCUGUGCGGUUGAUGGUUCUGAGACAACAGUACCAGUCAGUUAGGACAACUGGUGAGACCAAAUACUAGACUUGAUACCAAAAUUCUAAGAUUAGAAUUACUUAGUAGAAGAAGAGGGGAAUGAAAGGAAAAUUAUACAGAUUUAAGGUUUAAAAUUAUGAAGUUAAAAGAGUAUGUUUCAAAAUUCACAACCUCAGGACUAAACACUGUGAAAAGCAAGUCCAGGCAGCCCUGCCCUGCCACUAGAACUAACAGACCAUAAAAGGAACGGAAUGCAGAACAGACCAGGAGUACCGGAUCUGACUCACAGGCCACCUGGCAGGAAGAGAUAAGCCCCCAGCCCCCGACAUCCAGGACGCCCCAAACCUGCCAAUGUGUGUAGCUAUACCUUACUACCUCAUCAUGUGAGAUAGCCAAUCAUAUGUGAACAUGUCUAUGUGCCUCAUUUGAAUCCACCAAUCCCCGUAACUAUGCAUCUGCUUCUGUACGCCCGCUUCUGCUUCCCCAAUCCCUAUAAAAGCCCCAUGCUGGAGCUGCUGGGGCGCAAGUCCUCCGAAGAGACUGUGUGCCCGCAGGUAACUGUGUUUUCCAAUAAACCCUCUUGCUGAUUGCAAAAAAAAAAAAAAAAAAAAAAAAAAAAAAGAAUUGCUAGUCACGCUAAGUAUAAAACCAUUAGAUCUUCAUAUAUGGUUCCUGAAUCACUAUCAGUUAUACAACUGUUGAUUCUAAGUCUAUUUCCUGUUACUAUAACUGGAUACCACAGACUGGAAAACUUACAAAAUAAAUAUAAUUGC